rnacentral:rRNA from 1 species
GCAAAUCAAUAUAAAUUGAUGUUUAGGUUUUAUUUAUUAAUUUUUUAAUUUUUAUUUAUAAUUUAUUAAAAAUAAUUAUUUAAUUAAAUGUUUUAGUAGUUUUUAAUGAAAAAAUAAUUUUAUAAUAGUUUAAUAUGUAUUGUAAAAGAAUAUUGAAAUAGUUGAAAAAUUAUUAUUUAUAAAGAAAAUUUAUUUUGUUGUACCUUGUGUGUCAGGGUUUAUUAAAUAAUUAAUAAGUAUUUAUUAAUCUCGAUUUUAUAAGAGUUAAUAAUUUAUAAAAUUUAUUGUAUCAAAAUUAUUUUAAAUAAAUUAUUGGAAAUGAAAUGUUAUUCGUUUAUAAAGGUAUCUAGUUUUUUUAGAAAUAAGUUUAAUUUAUGGAAAUUUAAUUUUUUAUUUAUUUAUUUAAAUAGAAAAUUUAUUUUUUUUAAUAUUUUAAGGGAUAAGCUUUAAAAUAAAUUAUUAAAAAUUAAUAAUAAUGAUAAAAGUUAUAUGCUUAGAAUUAGCAAUUAUUUUUUAGUUUGUUGUAAAUUAUUUUAUAAUUUAUAUUAUUUAUUAAAUUUUAAUUUUAUAUAAAAAUAUUUUUGUUAAUUUAAUAUAAAAAGUAAUAAUGAUAGAAUUAGUAUAUUUUAUUGUUUAAUUGAUUUUAUAUGAUAAGUUUAAUUAAAGAAUUCGGCAAAUUUUAUACCCGCCUGUUUAACAAAAACAUGUCUUUUUGAAUUAUAUUUAAAGUCUAACCUGCCCCCUGAGAGUUUAAAUGGCCGCAGUAUUUUAACUGUGCAAAGGUAGCCUAAUCAUUAGUCUUUUAAUUGAAGGCUGGUAUGAACGGUUGGACGAGGUAUAAACUGUUUCAUUUAAAUUUAUAUUAGAAUUUUAUUUUUUAGUCAAAAAGCUAAAAUUUAAUUAAAAGACGAGAAGACCCUAUAAAUCUUUAUAUUUUACGUUAUUUUAAUUUUUUGGAUGUAUUUUAUUUUUAUAAUAUAAAAUAUUUUGUUGGGGUGAUAUUAAAAUUUAAUAAACUUUUAAUUUUUUAAAAUCAUUGAUUUAUGAUUAAUUGAUCCGUUAAUAACGAUUAUAAGAUUAAGUUACUUUAGGGAUAACAGCGUAAUUUUUUUGGAGAGUUCUUAUCGAUAAAAAAGUUUGCGACCUCGAUGUUGGAUUAAGAUAAAUUUUAGGUGUAGCUGCUUAAAUAUUAAGUCUGUUCGACUUU